UGGCACACAGUGGCUGCCUGCAAGCUGCCAAGUGGCAAAGGAUCCAGGAAAAGGCACAGGAUUGGAAAGUGCUACCCAGCAAUCUGUGUAUUCUGCAAUUAACAAAGGGUGGGGGACAGGCCCAGAUCACUGCUGGGCUGGUGGAACAGGCGG